rnacentral:lncRNA from 1 species
GCACCAUGCCUGCCUAUAGCAGGCCUUCCCCUGGCCAGGGCUCUUCCCUACCCCUCCUCAGGACUGCCCAGGGGAGGCAGGUCUUGAGGAAUGGAAACCCUGGCAUGGCCCAGCCACAGGGCUGUGGUCCUGCCUCCGUUCUGUCCCUUAGCCCACCACACAGAACCCGCUGCUGCAGCAGCAGCGAUUAGCUCUGGGAAGUGCUGUGCAUCUCUAAUGAGGGCAUUUGCAUAUAUAACGAAGAACCUUCACAGGUGUUGGCUGAGCCACCACUCCUCUUUUCCCUUUCUUCUUUCCUGCCAGCUGCCAUCUUUGACCUGUGGCUCUUGGGGUGUGGGAGUCCCUGCCCAUUCAGCUGGGAGAUGUGCUGUGCUGAAGGACCCCAGGCACAGCUGGGCAGAUGUGCCUGAGACAGGUUUGACCAGGCAACUGAAAAGACAUCCCUAAGUGAAGACACAGCAAAGGUAUGAAAGGAACACACGUCCCCGACUGACCAGGUGGAACUGUCCAGCUGCCUGCUGUCUGGAACGACUUCCUCCCAGACUAAGUGAGAAAUAAACUUCUGUUUUCUAUAUGCUACUGUGUUUUG